AGGCUGCCCAGCCCCCCAGCCCCCACGACAGCCUCCACAUGACCCCGACCAGCUGAGCCUGCUUCCGAACCUGGGUGGGGGGAGAAUAGCGCUAAAACUGAAGCAGUUUUCCCUCCCACCUUCUGAGGAGCAACCCCUACACCCCUGCCUCAGACCUGGGCAGAGAGCCUGGGUUGAGAGUAGCCUCACAGGGGGGUCCACACCCACUCCUGGGAGGGCCUGCCCAACCCAACCCCCAGGCCCUGUUCCAGGCCCAGUAGCUGCAGCAGAGGGGGAGGAAUGUGCUAGUUCCCUGCCAGAGGGGGAGGGUACUUCCCACUUGGCAGCAGCCCACCCUCAGGAGUGGGGACACAAAGCAGGCAUUUAGGGCAUCCUCAAAGGCGGCCCAGACCACAAGACUGGGAGCAGCUCCAAGGUCUCCUCCCUGAGAGGAAUGACAAACACCCCCUGCCCCUCCCCACCCUGGUCAAAGAAUGGGCGGACAGGCAGUCUGAGGGGCAGUGACUGGGAGCUUGUAUGCCUGCCAGCCAGCAGCAGCUUGGAGAAUGGAAAGGUUUUUGUGUUUGCAGAAGCUGAUCCUCCCAGCCAGAGAACAAGCUGUUAGCACUGGGGAGCGAGACUACUGUGAAGUGUAGGGCCCUCUCCCGUUGGGAAGGGGGAAUGUCCAGGCCAGCACAGCACUAGGGGCUUCUUCUGGGACCAAGUAACAUGAAGGGAAAGCAAAUUGCCUGGACACAGUUUCCAUUGUGCUGCCUUCCUGCCUCGGGUGGGUAACUGGCAGGGGUGGGCACACUCUGGAUAGCAGUGGGCUCCUAAGGUUCAGGGGAUCCCAUCCCCCAUGCCCCCACCCACCCGGUCAGGAAGGCCUGAGGAGGAGGCAGGAAGGGGGGGCCUCCAUCCCUACUCCACAGUGUGGUUAAGGUCCUGCCAUCUCUCCUUGGGAUGCCCACAUCAGUCUCCUAACUGGUUUCCUUGCCUCCAGUCUCAGGCCUGCAAUGCCUGCAAUUCCUCCCUGCACUGGUCAUGUCCCUGUCCUUGAAUUCCUUCAGUGGUUUCCCCUCAGGAGAAGAUCCAAGCUUUUUGGAAUGGCUUACCAGGCCCUUUGAGGGCUGACCCUGGCCCCACCAGCAGCUUCAUAUUCUGCCAUAUUCCUCAUGCCUCCAAACCUUUGCAUAUGCAGGUCCCUCUUCCAGAAGUGUUUUCCCCUCUUUCUUCACCAGAAUAACUCCUUCAAGGUUCCAUUGACACAUUCAGCUUAGAAUAUUCCUUCACCCAGCACUAAUUGCCAGUAGGAUAGUGGGUCUUCCCCAUUAGACUGUGAGCCCCCUGCGGGCAGUCAUCUUUGUAUUUCUUACAACUGGCAAAGAGUUCUGCACAGAGUAGGUACUUAGUGUUCGCUGUUUACAUGAGCAAAUAAAUGAAUAGCCAGAUCACUUACAAGAGCCAUAUCCCACUGCAAACAGAUCCCUGUACUUUGGAUUCCUGCAAAAAAAAAUAUGAAUCCAUUGGCAUAGGAAAUGAACAUGGCCCUCCUGUGGACAAGGGCCUUCCCAUUGGCACUGGUGCCUAAAUAUACUACAGACAUCUGUUCUCCAGCUUAGGCCCUCACCACUUGGGAGUCCUGGGGGUGGUCUUGUGAUCCCAUAAGAAUCCAAGUUCCAUAUUUUUCCAUACUGUCAUACGUCAUACUCAAGGCAGAGGGCAGUGACGGACAGGCGCUUGGCUUUGUCAUUUUGGAACUUCCAGAGCGGCAGCAGGGUACC
rnacentral:lncRNA from 1 species